rnacentral:rRNA from 1 species
GACGAACGCUGGCGGCGUGCUUAACACAUGCAAGUCGAACGGAAAGGCCCUGCUUUUGUGGGGUGCUCGAGUGGCGAACGGGUGAGUAACACGUGAGUAACCUGCCCUUGACUUUGGGAUAACUUCAGGAAACUGGGGCUAAUACCGGAUAGGAGCUCCUGCUGCAUGGUGGGGGUUGGAAAGUUUCGGCGGUUGGGGAUGGACUCGCGGCUUAUCAGCUUGUUGGUGGGGUAGUGGCUUACCAAGGCUUUGACGGGUAGCCGGCCUGAGAGGGUGACCGGCCACAUUGGGACUGGGGUACGGCCCAGACGCCUACGGGAGGCAGGAGUGGGGAAUAUUGCACAAUGGGCGGAAGCCUGAUGCAGCAACGCCGCGUGCGGGAUGACGGCCGUCGGGUUGUAAACCGCUUUCGCCUGUGACGAAGCGUGAGUGACGGUAAUGGGGAAAGAAGCACCGGCUAACUACGU